GACGAACCGUGCGAACGUUGUUCGGAAUCACUGGGCUUAAAGGGCGCGUAGGCGGGCUCACAAGUCAGGGGUGAAAGCCCACGGCUCAACCGUGGAAGUGCCUUUGAUACUGUGGGCCUCGAGGGAGGUAGGGGCGUGCGGAACUUCCGGUGGAGCGGUGAAAUGCGUAGAUAUCGGAAGGAACACCGGUGGCGAAAGCGGCGCGCUGGACCUCUACUGACGCUGAGGCGCGAAAGCCAGGGGAGCAAACGGG
rnacentral:rRNA from 1 species